GAACACAGCAAGCAAACACAUGCACCCAAGUAGUGCCUAGGGAACUCGAGGCUCUCCAAGCAAAAAAGGAGAGAGGGUCAGAAGAGGUGCCCAGCAGACUGCCACAUGGUAGACAAGAGUUCCCUUUUUGGUAAAGUGGCCAUUACUGUCAAGUUUUCUCAAGCAAGAAAUUCAGGAAUCUUGCCAGGGGCAAAGCUAUCCAGAUCCAAAAAUUGGGUGCAACCUAGUUUUGUGCUCCCAGAAGACAUCCAGAUGGCAAGGAAGGCAUGUAACCAAGCCCCUGAAAUAAUCAAUUCUAUGAAUAGUUGAAACAUAUCUUCUAUGGGAGGACAUGUUUGGAAAAAAU
rnacentral:antisense_RNA from 1 species